UGACCAUAUCACAUUGAAACACCGGUUCUCGUACGAUCACCGAAGUUAAGCAACGUUGGGUCUCUUCAGUACAUAGAUGGGUGGCUGUUUAGAAAUCCCAGGUGCUGUAAG